rnacentral:lncRNA from 12 species
AAAGGAUCCGAGAUGGAAAUGCAACAAACCCUCUUGUCUGAGAGAGACUUGAGAGUUAUAUGUCUGCUUCCUUCUCAACUGGAAGCUAUGAAAGUCAGCAAGGUCGGAAAUCAGAACGCAGAAGAGCUUCCUCUAGUUUUUGGGUUUUCAGAGGUAAUCACAUUUGUCUAAAUGAUCCACUGGGCAACUGGAGAGGAUGGGAUUGUAACUAACCU